GACGAACGCUGGCGGCGUGCUUAACACAUGCAAGUCGAACGGAAAGGCCCUGCUUGCCGGGUACUCGAGUGGCGAACGGGUGAGUAACACGUGGGUGAUCUGCCCUUCACUUCGGGAUAAGCCUGGGAAACUGGGUCUAAUACCGGAUAGGAGCCAUUUUUAGUGUGAUGGUUGGAAAGUUUUUUCGGUGUAGGAUGAGCUCGCGGCCUAUCAGCUUGUUGGUGGGGUAAUGGCCUACCAAGGCGGCGACGGGUAGCCGGCCUGAGAGGGUGGACGGCCACACUGGGACUGAGAUACGGCCCAGACGCCGACGGGAGGCAGCAGGGGGGAAUAUUGCACAAGGGGCGCAAGCCUGAUGCAGCGACGCCGCGUGGGGGAUGACGGCCUUCGGGUUGUAAACGCCUUUCGCUAGGGACGAAGCUUUUUGUGACGGUACCUAGAGAAGAAGCACCGGCUAACUACGUG
rnacentral:rRNA from 1 species